CUUGUAAGUAGAGUAGGGGAGAAAAGACUGUGGAGGACAUGGGCUUUAGAAGGAGAGUGCUGUCAGUGCAAGCUGAUGACAGCUCUUAUGGGAUAUGGUUAAAAAAAAGUCACAUGAGUGUAAACAGAUCAGUUUGUCUCUAAGGAUACAGAAAACUGGGAGAGCCAGUUCAGUCCAAAAUGCCAUCUGCAGAAAUGAAGAUUUUCACGCUCAUACUAGGCUGACAAAUCCUACAUUGCUUCUGUUUCCUCUCUGCUGUUUUUCUUGGGUGUCCCUUUGGAUGUGCCAGUGGGUGACAGGUGAGGACCCACAGGCAGAUGGAGGUGGGUGGAUCUGCUCCAGAGGAUGAACCAGAAGAUGAGCGGGGCUGAGUUACCAGCCUUCUUCUUGGACAGAAACCCAUUGCUGCUGGUGGCAUGGCACAGGGAAAGCAGCUCAAGGGAAACAAGAUCUUUCUGUGGGUUGUACCUAGGUAGUAUCCAGCUCUGCGUUAUCAGUGAAGCUCCAAAUAGCUUAUCUUUCACCUGCAUAUGUACGUGUUUCUCUCUUGCCAGACCAACAUUUAUUCAUCUGAAUGUGUGAAUAAUAAUCCCCUGAGUAGAUAUGGAUAAAAUAAAAGCAUACUAAAACCCCCAAAUAUUCGGGGAAAGAUUUUAUCUUUUGUUACGUGGAAAGAUGUCUGCAGUCUGGCUUCAAUAAAGGAAUAACUUAAAAGGCAGAAAAAUAAGCAGCAGAACAUCAGCUCUCACUUCAGUGUGUAAACUUUGGAAAGGCCACCUGUCAGAUCCCUGGUGGAAAGCAGCAUUUUGUUUGGCAUCUGGCUGAUUGCCACGAUGAAACGUUGAAGUGUUUGGAAACUUGUGGGACUUUCUUCAAAAGGCACAUUUCCCCUCCCCCUUUCUCUAAAUAAUUAAAUCUUAAAUGUUCUGGCUUGCAGUUAAGAAAAGAUAAAACACAGCGGCAGGAUUCUUUCAAACACACUAGCUAAUAACAUGAGGGCCUUUCAUGCUAUUUAUUUUAGCUUCCCCCAUAUGAAACACAAAAGAAAUUGCCUCAGUAUCACCUUAACUUUUCAUCUUAGGCAGUCACUGAUUCUGAUCUUGGUAGCUGAAGUAAAUCUGAAGUAACUCCACUGAAAUGUGACCUAGUUGCAGAGUGCUGCAUACUUAUUCCAGGGUAAAAUUGGCAUAUGAAUGCAAUUGUGAUUUUAUUAGUCUUAUCCUGUCAUAACGCAUAUCAGUCACUGAAGCUACUCCAGAUUUUGGUGACUCACACAAGCUACUCCCAACUCAGGCAAUGUGACUGAAAGCAGAGACCCACAAUUGUCAGCUGGGUGACAUCCUAUCUUGCAAAAAGAUAAGAAUUUAACUGUUUGACGGCAGGCAUAUUUUGCUCUGAUCACUCAUUUUGACUGUUUUCCCUAGCAUUACAUUGUGUUUCUGGGUCCUGUUGGAAACAAGUUGCUUCAUGAUUCCAGCACUUUGAGGAAUGCAAAGCUCCAGAUUAACACCAUCUGUUGUUUGAAGAUAAAAGCAAAGACUCCGAUGUUAGUGGCUAGUUCUCUUUGUAACUGCUGUUCUUUUAAGUAGCAGAUACUAGGAGGCUACUUUUGCCCCAGUAGAUAUGCAUGGGGUUGCCAGCAAAGGAAUAUGUGCUCUUGAGAAGUUGGACCCAAAUUUUGUUUCACUUAUUUGUGCUAUAGAAAAAAAGCCUUGGGUUUGUUUGCUGAAGUUUCUUGCUGGCUUUAGCGUUCAGGGGCACUAAGGGAAUGGAGGGCCUGGAAUCACCUUCAGCCAUGAUGCACAGACUGGGCUGCCAACAUACACCCUUCUCCAUGGUGUCCUGCUUGUCCUGGUGAAGAAUGAGCAGUCUGCAAUAUCAUUGCAAGAAUGAAGAUGGCACAGUAGAGCCUACAGAGGAAACCAUGCACUGCUGAAAUUGUCCCCCAUAUUUUCCAACAUGUUAUGCACUCUGGGUAAGAGGGCGAGUCCUGUUCUUUCUUCGUAUCUAAUGCUUCAUCUUGCAUAUGUCAGUUGGAAGAGUGCAGGGACAAGUCAGAAGGUGGGUGAUCUUGUCCUGCAUGCUGGUUAGUAGACCUAAAUAUAGAAAUUAAUUUGCUCCAGAUAUGGGAGCAUGGGCAGAAACAGCAACAAGGCUGCAAUUCUCCAGCUGUCUCUGCACAGGUCUGGCAGUGUUUUGGUCUGAACUCAGAAAAAGCCUGCCAAAGAUUCCAGACAAUGCCAAGCUACAGCUGAGAAUUAGCACAUGACAAGGACCACUCCCAAAAGGCAGUUUGAGUGCAAGCACAUUGUUUGAAGAGUAAGGCAAUUUAGCUUUCCCUAUAGUUGUGCUGUGCUAGUUGCCCUCAGGGCAAAGAGUGGUCCUUGAGCAGGGGUGACUCAUUUCACUUUCCACCAUACUCGAGGUAGCUUAAUUGGCUCUGAUCUGCCCUUGGAGGAGACCAGAACCUAAUGUCUCCAGACCUGUGACAGGGUCACUUUUGGGCUAUAUGAUGUAUUUCCUUUUGGCUGCCACAAGGUACAAGUCAGGCUCAGCUGCCACUAUCCCUUGUCUUUGGCACUGAGUAGUUUAAUAACAAUAUCAGUUUUAUUCAAGAUGCAGGCAGUUCAAGAUACAGGGAAUCAGAUGGAAAUGACCAAACUCAACUUUCAGGAAAUGGCAAUGCUUUUACUGAUACUUUUCGAACCUCAUCCAGGAAUCCUGGGGUCCCAUAUCUACCUCUGUCACACAUCUUUUGAUGUUUUUUAUAUUUAAAUAUGAAGUCUUGUUUAUUUUUUUGUUCUGUGUUUUAAGCUGAUGGACAGCUUCAGGGACUUCUUCCCAGUUUAGGAUUUGGACACAAGCCCUGUGUCAUAGGCCUUGGAGAGAAAGCCUGUCUCCCGGUGGAAAAAAAAAAAAAAAACCAAACCAAACCAACCAACAAACCAAACAGAACCACCACCACCAAAACCCACUACCACCACCACCAAGAAACUAAACAAACAAACAACAACAGCAAAAACUCCUAAGAAGCUGUGUGAGGGUAUUUUCUCACAAAGGUUUCCUUCUUCAGAGCCCCUUCCUGUGGGUUUGGACUACAAUGGGGAUAGUUCAGACCACUGUAAAUGUUGAUACAAUUGAAGGAAAACAAGAAUCGUGUUUGCCCUUUCCUGUCAAGGAGUCAUUUCUUCACUCUGAAAGUGAUGACUGAGCCCCAAUCCAAAGAAAUCCUGAAUGCUCAGUAGUUCAUGUUAAGGAGCAAAACAAAAAGCAAAAUCCCUUUUUUAUUCUGCCAUUGCAUUUUGGUAACUUUUCAACAUGCUGUCAUCUGGUGACAACAAAGACCUCAUAUCUCCUUUCA